UAUUCUAAUACCACAUAUGAGGAUUUUUAUUCGAGUUAGAGGUUGAUUCUGAGUAUAUUGCGCAUGCUUUACUGAAUUAUUCUAAUCCCAAGUACAAGAAACAAUGUUUUUUCGUACUUGGGAUUAGACUCAUUCGGUAGAGCGUGCGCAAUAUACUCAGAAUCAACCUCUAACUCGUUUCGCCUAAAAAUCCUCAUACGUGGUAUUAGAAUGCAGGUAGCGAUAUAGGAAAUAUGUUGAAGUCUCAUUUUCAAAAGAGCCAGUUUAUCAUCGUUUUUUAAGGAUGGUAUGUUCUCUGGUAUGCCAUCUCUUCAAAGGUGUCCAGAAUUUCCUUUUCAUCCUGCAUUACUACUCUAUUUCGUCGUAUUGAAUAAAUAUUUUAUCAAAGCUUUUCGCUAGAGUUUUGUUACAAGUUACAAGUAACUGUCAAGCAACUUAAAACUUAUAACUAGUUGUCAAAAUUAUUUAUUUUAUACACGGUAAGUACAGCAGACCCCCCUCUAUAACGAGAACUGAAAUGGCAUACUAAUUACCUCGUUAUAAGCUGAUCUCGUUAUAUCAGACAACAAUAAUAUUGAGCAUACAUAUGAAUAUGUAGUUUUCUAAAACACUAACUUCCUAUAGUGAAGCCAUUCCGAGCAAUAUAAGAUAUUAAAUAUUGUUUGAAUGGCGCUGUUGAAAAAUAUUUGGUGGAUAAACAGGAUGAUGUUGACUCAAUAAGCAUACAGAUUUUAGGCAUUUCUGUAUACAGGCAUCUUGGGUAUUUAUUUAUAGCCAUCACAGCGCCAAAAACAGGUGAAGAAACAUGCUCUUCAACCUCAUUUUCCCUCGUUAUAAGUAAGGAUGCUUCGUUGUAAAGGUGUUAUAAUUCAAUAGGAAUUUCAUGGAACACCUAAUGUACCUCGUUAUAAGCGAAACCUCGUAAUACCCUUAUUUGUUAUAUAUAGAGUAUGCUGUAGAUAAUUCUGAAAAUUAAGUUGCCACAACAUUUUCGUUUAUUUUUUGAUCAACACUGUAAUCCAAAGUUUGUAGAAACCAAGCUAUUUCAAUAUUUUGUUAUUAAUGAUAGACUUUAAUGUAUUGUGGAUCUCAUUCUUUAAUCCAAUAAGCAAGAUUGUGAAGAUUAAUGUUUUCGAUAAAUUUCCGUUUGUCCAAACAUUUAGUUGUUAGAGCUCGUACUCAUUUUAUCUGUAUAAAUUCUAAUGCUAAUUGUUACUAUAAAGACUAAUGUAAUCAUACCAAAGAAAAAUGCAUUUAUCUUUUACCAGGACUGUUGUGAAUGCGUACUAUUUCUUGAUAAGCAUCGUUCGUGUUAAUUACUGAUUCCUAUUCCUCGAAGAAGAAAGUGUGUAGCAGACUGAUUUGUGAUUUGGCUUUUCUUCUAUAUCAUUAAUCCCCUAACCAAGAAUUUCCUUUUUUUAUUAUUGAAAUUCUGAGGUUAGAACCGCUCCGGGGUCGUGGCUGAAUGUUUUUAUAUUAAUAGGAAAAUACCACAGACAAAAUAAAUAUAUAAUUGAAAAAUCUGUUAAAUCAUUGCCUACUGUAUAAUUUGACAUUUUCAGGGCACAAUUUUAAGCAUUGAUGUAGCAUUUUUGUUUGUCUCAAGCUGUCUAGAUUUCUGUGAAGCAAGUAUUGCUGCUUUUUAAAAAAGUAGCAAUAACUGCUCGAGGCACAAAUUUUAUUCUAAUACUUAUAAAUAUGGCAUAUAUUUUUAUUUGUCUGCAUUAAAUGGGUGCCGCAUGUAAAUGAUUAACAUCUCGUAGCUUAAUAAUCUCUUAUUUCUAAUUAAAAUAAAACAUCUCUAUUCUUUUUGAUACCAUUUUGUCUCGAGAACUUCAUCGUCGAAGAUAAGUUAUGUAGGCAAUUUAGUCGAGUAAAAGUUGUUAAGACGAAAGUAAUUUUAUUUUAAUUGAAAUCUGCGGAUGCUAUAGUUGUGGCUCGGUGAUUUACAUGCGGUGGACAUAUAAACUGGGAAAAUAUUUACCUGAUAGGUGAUUGUGCAGUUUUUUCAAAACGUAGUUUAGAAUUGUCAUUUUUUUAUUGUUAAUGAUUUACAUGCGUAUGAUGUAUGAAAUACUAUAGCAACAUAUAUGUUAUAUUGUAAUGUACCUAAUAAAAUAAUUUAAACAGAA
rnacentral:lncRNA from 1 species